GCCGGGCGGCAGCUACCAUGCAGUCGAGCGGAUGAAGAGAGCUUGCUCUCUGAUUCAGCGGCGGACGGGUGAGUAAUGCCUAGGAAUCUGCCUGGUAGUGGGGGACAACGUUUCGAAAGGAACGCUAAUACCGCAUACGUCCUACGGGAGAAAGCAGGGGACCUUCGGGCCUUGCGCUAUCAGAUGAGCCUAGGUCGGAUUAGCUAGUUGGUGAGGUAAUGGCUCACCAAGGCGACGAUCCGUAACUGGUCUGAGAGGAUGAUCAGUCACACUGGAACUGAGACACGGUCCAGACUCCUACGGGAGGCAGCAGUGGGGAAUAUUGGACAAUGGGCGAAAGCCUGAUCCAGCCAUGCCGCGUGUGUGAAGAAGGUCUUCGGAUUGUAAAGCACUUUAAGUUGGGAGGAAGGGCAUUAACCUAAUACGUUAGUGUUUUGACGUUACCGACAGAAUAAGCACCGGCUAACUCUGUGCCAGCAGCCGCGGUAAUACAGAGGGUGCAAGCGUUAAUCGGAAUUACUGGGCGUAAAGCGCGCGUAGGUGGUUUGUUAAGUUGGAUGUGAAAGCCCCGGGCUCAACCUGGGAACUGCAUUCAAAACUGACAAGCUAGAGUAUGGUAGAGGGUGGUGGAAUUUCCUGUGUAGCGGUGAAAUGCGUAGAUAUAGGAAGGAACACCAGUGGCGAAGGCGACCACCUGGACUGAUACUGACACUGAGGUGCGAAAGCGUGGGGGAGCAAACAGGAUUAGAUACCCUGGUAGUCCACGCCGUAAACGAUGUCAACUAGCCGUUGGGGACCUUGAGUCUUUAGUGGCGCAGCUAACGCAUUAAGUUGACCGCCUGGGGAGUACGGCCGCAAGGUUAAAACUCAAAUGAAUUUGACGGGGGCCCGCACAAGCGGUGGAGCAUGUGGUUUAAUUCGAAGCACGCGAAGAAUCUUUACCAGGCCUUGACAUCCAAUGAACUUUCCAGAGAUGGGAUUGUGCCUUCGGAGCAUUGAGACAGUGCUGCAUGGCUGUCGUCAGCUCGUGUCGUGAGAUGUGGUUAGUCCGGUAACGAGCGCAACCUUGUCUUAGUUACAGCACGUAUGGUGGCCACUCUAGGAAACUGCGUGACACGAGGACGGUGGGAUUGACGUCAGUCAUUAUUGCCUUACGUCUUGGCUACACACACGUUA
rnacentral:rRNA from 1 species